GGGCCCGUGGCGCAGCUGGGAGCGCGUCUGACUGGCAGUCAGAAGGUCAGGGGUUCGAAUCCCCUCGGGUCCA
rnacentral:tRNA from 1 species